GCGCCCGUAGCUCAGUUGGAUAGAGCGUCUGACUACGAAUCAGCAGGUCGGGUGUUCGAAGUCACGCCGGGCGCG
rnacentral:tRNA from 1 species